CAUGGUGCAUGGCCGUUCUUAGUUCGUGGAGUGAUCUGUCUGCUUAAUUGCGUUUCAUAUUUACGAAUGUCGCUUACGUGAUUGCUGCAGACCUCGUUUUCUCUGGAGGCGACGCGUCUCUUCAACUCACUCGCACAUUCUCUUGAACGCAACGAGCGUGACCGCAACCUCUUGUUGUGUAUACCAAGUGUGGCGCUGGCUUGCCAGCUCGCACUCCAAUGCACGUAUUUUGGUCACAUUGUCUCGCGGCGCCUCGGCGUUUGCAGCAAUGUCCAAAUAAACUGAGGACCGCGAACA
rnacentral:rRNA from 1 species